GAGCUCGCUGUUACCUGAAGGGAUGGACUGGUCGGUGGAAUGUCCGGUGCCGUGAGUUACCUGCUCAGCCCUGGAGCAGGGGUCAAAGCUGGGCGGAGCUGGACAGCCAGUCUCAGCCUCAGGUACUCCAGUGACAAGCAGCAGCACCAGUGCUGAUGAGGGUAGCAGGGAAAACUGGUGAAAUGUGCCGAGGUCUCUCCAGAGGUGGUAGGCGGUUGCGCCAGCUUCACAUCCUGGAUAGGCAGGAACGUUUCCCUAUCAUACUCCUGUCCCGGGUCUCAUGUGUCUCAGUUCAAACAGACACUGCCGUCUAUCUUCAAGCUGCAAUGAAGCUGAGAGCCACAGAAAACACCUGUACCAUGGUUUCAGGGAGGAGUCUCUUCCCUCAGCCGAAAACAGACAGCUUUGCUGGUCAUCUGUUCUCCACUGCGAGGACGCUGCCACUCAGUGUGGAGAGAGGAAGGGGUUCUGCCUAUGGUGCAAGAAGGUCGGACUCGGCAGUUAAUACUCUUGGAUAAUGUAUUUAAGGAUGCUUAAGCCCCUGCUGGGACAAGUCAGCUGUG
rnacentral:lncRNA from 1 species